rnacentral:rRNA from 1 species
ACAUGCCUACAACAUAGUGUUAAUGCAACGGAUCCCAUUAUAACUCCACAGUUAAGUGCACUUAGGGUAGAGUAACAUUGGGAUGGGUGACCUCCCAGGAAGUCUUAGUGUUUUACAUGCC